UAAGAAGCGGGCUAGCGUUGUUCGGAAUCACUGGGCGUAAAGCGCACGUAGGCGGAUUUGUAAGUCAGGGGUGAAAUCCCGGGGCUCAACCUCGGAACUGCCUUUGAUACUGCAAGUCUCGAGUCCGAGAGAGGUGAGUGGAAUUCCUAGUGUAGAGGUGAAAUUCGUAGAUAUUAGGAAGAACACCAGUGGCGAAGGCGGCUCACUGGCUCGGUACUGACGCUGAGGUGCGAAAGCGUGGGGAGCAAACAGG
rnacentral:rRNA from 1 species